CGCCUUUUGUUAAAAUAUAAAAGGUCCAGCCUGCCCAGUGAUAAAAUUCAACGGCCAUGGUAUUAUGACCAUGCGAAGGUAGCAUAAUCACUUGUUCUUUAAAUGAGGACUAGUAUCAACGGCACCACGAGGGCUAAACUGUCUCCUUUCUCCAAUCAGUGAAACUGAUCUUCCCGUGAAGAAGCGGGAAUAACUUUAUAAGACGAGAAGACCCCAUGGAGCUUUAAAUUUAUUAAUUCACCUCUUAAAACGCCUACAACAUUACACCAACUGAGCACUGAAUUUUAAUUUUAGGUUGGGGUGACCACGGAGUAAAAUUUAACCUCCACGAUGAAAGGCCACUGCCUAAUUUAAGAGUAACCACUCUAAAAAUCAACCACUUGACACUCUGAUCCAAUUAUUAUUGAUCAACGAACCAAGUUACCCUGGGGAUAACAGCGCAAUCCAUUUAGAGAGCUCCUAUCGACAAAUGGGAUUACGACCUCGAUGUUGGAUCAGGGUAUCCUAGUGGUGCAGCCGCUACUAACGGUUCGUUUGUUCAACGAUUAAAACCCU
rnacentral:rRNA from 1 species